CGUAGGGUGCGAGCGUCAAUCGGAAUUACUGGGCGUAAAGCGUGCGCAGGCGGUUUUGUAAGCCAGAUGUGAAAUCCCCGGGCUUAACCUGGGAAUGGCAUUUGGGACUGCAAGGCUUGAGUGCGGCAGAGGAGACUGGAAUUCCCGGUGUAGCAGUGAAAUGCGUAGAUAUCGGGAGGAAUACCGAUGGCGAAGGCAGGUCUCUGGGCUGACACUGACGCUCAUGCACGAAAGCGUGGGGAGCAAACAGGAUUAGAUACCCUGGUAGUCCACGCCCUAAACGAUGUCGACUGGUUGUUGGGGGUUUGACACUCUCAGUAACGAAGCUAACGCGUGAAGUCGACCGCCUGGGGAGUACGGCCGCAAGGUUA
rnacentral:rRNA from 1 species